UACGGAGGGUGCGAGCGUUGUCCGGAAUCAUUGGGCGUAAAGGGCGCGUAGGUGGCCCGGUCAGUCUUUGGUGAAAGCGCGGGGCUCAACCCUGCGUCGGCCAGGGAUACUGCCGCGGCUGGAGCACUGUAGAGGCAGGCGGAAUUCCACGUGUAGCAGUGAAAUGCAUAGAGAUGUGGAGGAACACCGAUGGCGAAGGCAGCCUCCUGGGCCAAUUCUGACGCUCAGGCACGAAAGCGUGGGGAUCAAACAGG
rnacentral:rRNA from 1 species